UACGGAGGGUGCAAGCGUUAUCCGGAUUUACUGGGUUUAAAGGGUGUGUAGGCGGACUUUUAAGUCAGCGGUGAAAUCUCCGGGCUCAACCCGGAAACUGCCAUUGAUACUAUUUGUCUUGAAUGUUGUUGAGGUGGGCGGAACGGGUCAUGUAGCGGUGAAAUGCAUAGAUAUGACCCGGAACACCAGCGGCGAAGGCGGCGCUCUGGGCCGGAACUGACGCUGAGGAGCGAAAGCGUGGGUAGCAAACAGG
rnacentral:rRNA from 1 species